GGACCAUCCUCCAAGGCUAAAUACUCCUGACUGACCGAUAGUGAACCAGUACCGUGAGGGAAAGGCGAAAAGAACCCCGGCGAGGGGAGUGAAAAAGAACCUGAAACCGUGUACGUACAAGCAGUGGGAGCACGCUUAGGCGUGUGACUGCGUACCUUUUGUAUAAUGGGUCAGCGACUUAUAUUCUGUAGCAAGGUUAACCGAAUAGGGGAGCCGAAGGGAAACCGAGUCUUAACUGGGCGUUAAGUUGCAGGGUAUAGACCCGAAACCCGGUGAUCUAGCCAUGGGCAGGUUGAAGGUUGGGUAACACUAACUGGAGGACCGAACCGACUAAUGUUGAAAAAUUAGCGGAUGACUUGUGGCUGGGGGUGAAAGGCCAAUCAAACCGGGAGAUAGCUGGUUCUCCCCGAAAGCUAUUUAGGUAGCGCCUCGUGAAUUCAUCUCCGGGGGUAGAGCACUGUUUCGGCAAGGGGGUCAUCCCGACUUACCAACCCGAUGCAAACUGCGAAUACCGGAGAAUGUUAUCACGGGAGACACACGGCGGGUGCUAACGUCCGUCGUGAAGAGGGAAACAACCCAGACCGCCAGCUAAGGUCCCAAAGUCAUGGUUAAGUGGGAAACGAUGUGGGAAGGCCCAGACAGCCAGGAUGUUGGCUUAGAAGCAGCCAUCAUUUAAAGAAAGCGUAAUAGCUCACUGGUCGAGUCGGCCUGCGCGGAAGAUGUAACGGGGCUAAACCAUGCAC
rnacentral:rRNA from 1 species